GUCCGCGCACUGAGAGUCGCCUCGGCCGCUCGCUUUCUCGACUCCCGCCUCGCGCCUCGAUCCUGUUCCGCCUCCCUCGGCCCUCCUGCCCGCCCCCACUCGUCGGCCCUCAGCUCAGAGACCUAAUAGGAUGGGGUCUUAGAGAAACAUCUUUUGAGCCACAGACUUCUUUGUUACCAGAAGGAAAAUGAAAGAAGAAAUUUAAAUACCACUUGAAGAGAGGUGCUGCCCAGUUCAUGAGUGCUGCUGCUGUCCUGCCCAAGUACCCAGCUUGCAGAGUGCCAGAGUUAGAGUCCCAGGGGUGUUCUCCACAGCUGCAUGCUUGAUCCAGGCCUAUCAGAUAUAUUCCAUUGAAAGUCCUCAUUCUCAAAUUUAAAACAAAGACUUUUUGUGUACCUCAAUAGCAAUGCACACACAGUUGGCUUCACAAACAUAUUGUACAUUUCUUUUUUUCAUAUUUAUUCAACAAAUGUAUAUUGACUACCCACCGUGUGACAGGUGUUAUUUGUUGACGGAACCAGGCAUCAUCAGCAAACAAAACUGACAAAGCUUCCUGCCCUCUGUGGAAGGCAUCUGAGGAAGAGACUGGAUUUUGUAGCAACAUGUUAUUCUCAUUAUAAACUUUAUCAUUGGAAUACUAAAGCCAAAUCAUCCCCCAUCUCCUUGAUCAGGAUACCCACUUAAUCUAGGCAGCUACACAAUUGUGAGAGCCUUUGUUUUUUUCUGCUGAAACAUCCUUAAAAAGAUACCUCACAACCCAAGAUUUGGCUUUUCUUAAAUACGAUUUUUAAUUUUUUUCAUUUCUAUCUAGAGAUUUAAUUGGAAAUGGAAAAUCAUCAAUUUUCCAAUUAAAUGUCUGUUCCAAUCAACAUUAUACCUUUUAGGUUGUCAUUGUCAUUUUUAAGUUUAAGCAACUUUAAGGAUUUUGAAUCUGGCUGCCUGUAAAUUAAAGGUGAAAGUAAUCAUUGUGUUGGAUUGGAACAUUUUGUCAAUUGAGAGUGGUUUCCUUGUUCUUAGUGUAUGAAAAGUUUAUUUUUCUAAUGUAGAUUAAUAAAGGAGAUAAAGAAAAACAAAA
rnacentral:lncRNA from 1 species